GCUGUAGCUCAGUGGUAGAGUGCUUGCCUAGCAUGUGCAAGACCCUGGGUUCAAUCCACAGCACUGCA
rnacentral:tRNA from 1 species